UACGUAGGGUGCGAGCGUUGUCCGGAAUUACUGGGCGUAAAGAGCUCGUAGGUGGUUUGUCACGUCGUCUGUGAAAUUCCGGGGCUUAACCUCGGGCGUGCAGGCGAUACGGGCAAUACUUGAGUGCUGUAGGGGAGACUGGAAUUCCUGGUGUAGCGGUGAAAUGCGCAGAUAUCAGGAGGAACACCAAUGGCGAAGGCAGGUCUCUGGGCAGUUACUGACGCUGAGGCACGAAAGCGUGGGGAGCGAACAGGAUUAGAUA
rnacentral:rRNA from 1 species